GCCUAUAGCUCAGUUGGUCAGAGCUGCGGACUCAUAAUCCGUUGGUCCCAGGUUCAAGUCCUGGUGGGC
rnacentral:tRNA from 1 species